rnacentral:rRNA from 1 species
GCCAGACUCCUACGGGAGGCAGCAGUGAGGAAUAUUGGUCAAUGGGCGGGAGCCUGAACCAGCCAAGUCGCGUGAGGGAAGACGGUCCUACGGAUUGUAAACCUCUUUUGCCGGGGAGCAACGGGGUCCUUGCGAGGGCCCGAUGAGAGUACCCGGAGAAAAAGCAUCGGCUAACUCCGUGCCAGCAGCCGCGGUAAUACGGGGGAUGCGAGCGUUAUCCGGAUUUAUUGGGUUUAAAGGGUGCGUAGGCGGGCUGUUAAGUCAGCGGUAAAAUGUCGGGGCUCAACCCCGGCCUGCCGUUGAAACUGGCUGUCUUGAGAUGUCGAGAGGUAUGCGGAAUGCGCAGUGUAGCGGUGAAAUGCUUAGAUAUUGCGCAGAACUCCGAUUGCGAAGGCAGCAUACCGGCGGCGAUCUGACGCUGAGGCACGAAAGCGUGGGUAUCGAACAGGAUUAGAUACCCCUGUACU